rnacentral:lncRNA from 1 species
UAUGUUAUAUUCAUUUGUAUAAAAAUGUACAGUUCUAUCCUCACUCUUAUUUUAUUUUUAUUAUUUUUUCAGAAAAUGGUAUGCGUUAUUAAGGUUAAGGGUGACAACUGGGAUCAAUAUACGGUUUAUUCGAGUGCUUAAAACCUAAUAAAUAUCCACUAACUCAUAUUUAAUUAAAAUAUAAUUAUUUUUAAAUAAAAAAAUUUAAUAUAAACUAAACAAAUUGAUUGGAUUUUGUUUCUAAAGGUACAUCAUUAGAACGUUACCUUUAAUUGAACAAAAGCACACAUAACUAGCACAUUCGCCACAAAAGCCUCAGCUUAGUGGUCGGCUUAUUAAUUAUCUUAAUAAAAUCAUGGUCAUAAAUUUGAGUCCCCGUAGGAAUUAUUAGGUUAGGUAGCUUUUUUAGACUACAAAAGCUUUUUUAGACUACUCAUUCAUUUAAUUUUCCGUUAUAUAUAUUCAUCUUUUUUAGAGGCCAAGAAGUCUUCGACAGAAAUGUGAUCUUUUUCUAGUUGCCUCCCGGUGAUGAGCUUCUCCCAAGUUUCAAUUAAUUCGCUUUGAGUGAGGAUAUUUUCUGGUGGCCUCAAAUACAAUGUCUUGUUCAGCACUCAAGGGUCAUCUAUUGUCUUAAUAGUAUAUGUGGCAACAUCAUCAAGAUGCACUAUAGAAAAAAAGAUAAUCAUUUUGUUUAAUAUGAACAUAAAUUCUUACAGUCUAACUCAUAUUAUAGUGAACGAUGCUGUUAUGUGGUGCGUGCAUGCACUAUCUAUAGUUUUAAUAUUAUUAAUAAAGAGUUAAAAGUCUUGAUUUAAUUUUAAAUUGUCAUUCCUCUAACUUCACCGUCUUCAUAGAUGCAGACUUUAUCUUUUGAAGGGUGAGGGUAGCUAUAUUUGAGAGAGGUGUCUAGGGAACCAACCAGCAAAAAACAGCUAGCAGAAACAUAAAUGACAGGGAUUUGAGCAGCCUUGAUUGCCCUUCUCACACAUGCGCUCUGCGUUCUCCCUCCCGCUCUCACUCACUCACGCCCAAAUCUCACCUCACUCACGCAUCUCUCCUUCUGACCGGUGGUUUUCUCUCUCUCGCCGUGGGUCUCAAGGCUGGCAGGGAUUUCUCGACUUGACUACUAAAACAUAAUCCAAAAACUACUAAGAGAUGUAUAUAUUACUCUGAUAUACACAAUAUGAAGAAACUGCAGUUAUAUUUCAAAUAUUAUAUGAAGGAAGAGGCUGUAUGGAUUAUCUAAAGGUGCUGAAAUUAAGAGACCUAUUGAAAAGUCAUGCAUGUGGUAAUUUUUCAAAGAGCUACCAAACAUUUGAAGAAAAAAUGGAAAGUUGGCAAAUUUGUCAAAUUUGCCAAAUGGACACCAUUGACUAUUGGCUUAGGUUAGGUGGAAUGGUAAAGGGGUUGGUGCAAUAGUGCCAUUAUUUUUCCUAUAAAUAGAUGGCACUUUUUCCAUUCUUUUGCAUCCCAAAAUUGUUAAGCUUAUAAGUUUCUAAGCUUUUGAGAGAAGUGAGAGAAGUGUGUCUGGGGAAUUUAUCUUUCCUGCAGAGUGUGAGAGUACUGGGUAUAUUUUGGGUUUCUGGGAAGUGAGAUUCGUUACUCAAAUAUUGUACUCUAUUAAUUGUUAAAUAAACAAUUAUUCUUUCUUGCCUCCGUGGAUGUAGGUUUAAUUACCGAACCACAUAAUUCUUGUGUCCUUUAUUUUUUCUAUAAUUAUUUGGUGCGCUUGAUUCCGCAUUCCAAGCACAACAAGUGGUAUCAGAGCCGAAGGUUCGUACUUGGGGGGAUACGGUACUGUUCACGUAUACGGUACUAUUCCCAUAUACGGUACUGUUCACGAAUACGGUGGAGACGGCCAUUUGUACUUGGGAGACAGUCUAUUGUAAGUAGUGUGUAUUUUUGCAUGUUUAGGAAAGUUCUGUCAACAAAGGCGAUAAGAGUCUAAGGAUUCUGGUUUUUAAUUGGGACCGAGUUCCCGUCCAGUUUCUUGGGAACUUUCCUGGUGCAUUUAUUCAUGCGAAAUUAACAUCAUAGAGACUGUUUUUCAAGUGGAAAUAGUUCGUUGAGAAAAUGGUAGAAGGUGAAACUUCCAGAAUUGGGGAGAGAUCUACCGAGACUAUUUCAGGAGACACUUCAGGUGGGAGACGAGAUUUGUCAAAUCGCUAUUCAGCACCUGUUAUAGGAGGUCAGAAGAUCGAUGUUGAAAAGUUUGAUGGGAAAAUCAACUUCGGCAUGUGGUGGCGCGAAGUUAUGGAUGCCCUUAUUCAAAUCGAUCUCGAUGUUGUUCUGAAAAAUAAAAGACACUUGUAUGAUGAAGAAAUUUGGGAUCGUAUGAAUGAAAAAGCUUGUGGUUAGAUCAGAUCUUGUUUGACCAAGGAGGUGAAAUACUUGGUGAAAGAUGAGGAGUGUGCGGUAACUUUGUGGCGUACAUUAGAGGAAAAGUACUUGGUGAAAAGUCCUGAAAAUCGCCUUCAUGCAAUGAGCCAAGUAUAUGGUUUUCGAAUGAAGCCUGGGGUGUCAAUGCACGAUCAUGUUUCAAGAUUUGAAAAGUUACUUGCUGAUUUGAAGAAUCUUGAUGAAGAUAUUAAGGAUGAAGUCAAGGCUAUGAUUCUGUUACACUCACUACCAGAGGAAUAUAGCCAUUUUGUGACUACUUUGAUAUAUGGGAAGAGUGUGAUCGUCUUCAAAGAUGUUUGCACAACAUUGACUAGCUUAGAGAUUCGGAAUAAUGAUAAAAAUUCUGAACGAGCAUCGUCUGAAGCUUUAGUGAGCAGAGAUUGGGCGAUGGAGAAACAGAAGAAGCGUGGUGGAAAGAACUCUCGAUCCAAAUCGAGAAGCAGAAAUAUAGCUCGAGAUGAGUGUGCCUUUUGUCAUGAAAAGGGCCAUUAGAAGAAAGAUUAUCCAAAUGCUCAAAAGAGAGAUGGGAAGAAACCAGCAGCAGCAAACAUGGCACGGAAAGAUGAGGGAUCUGAUUAUUCACUAAGUAUUACUCCUGCAGCAUACGUGGCUAGUUCGAGCGAGUGGAUACUUGAUACUGGAGCAACCUAUCAUUUGUGUCCCAUUAAGGAAUGGUUUACGGAUUUCAACGUAUUGGAAUCUGGUGCAGUUGUGAUGGGGAAUGAUCAACCUUGUCGCACAAUGGGGAUAGUAACAAUUCGGCUCAAAAUGUUUGAUGGAAUGGUCAGAGAACUCAAAAAGGUUAGAUUUGUUUCAGCUUUAAAGAAAAAUCUAAUUUCUGUGGGUGCUUUAGAAGCUAAAGGCUACAAGGUUACCAUUGAAGAUGGUAUAAUGAAGUUUACACAUGGGGCUAUGGUGAUUCUGCAAGGGGUUCGGCGUCACAAUCUGUACUAUUUGAAGAGAGGUACAACUGAUGAAGCAAAUGUUGUUGAGGCACACAGUGACACCACCAAGCUAUGGCAUGUACGACUAGGACAUGCUAGAGAGAAGUCUUUGCAAACUCUGAUAAGGCAUGGACUCUUAAAAGGUACCAAAACCUGUAAAUUAAAUUUUUGUGAGCAUUGUGUAGUAGGCAAGAAAACAAGGGUUAAGUUUGGUACAGCUAAUCACGAUACUCGUGAGAUCCUUGAAUAUGUUCAUAGUGAUGUAUGGGGACCAACCAAGACUGCAUCAAUUGGUGGAAGCCAUUAUUUUGUUACAUUUGUUGAUGAUUUCUCUAGAAGUGUGUGGGUGUACACCAUGCGAGCAAAUGAUGAGGUUCUAGAGAUUUUCGUGAAAUGGAAGAAAUUGGUGGAGACUCAAACUGGAAGAAAGAUCAAAGUAUUACGAUAUGAUAAUGGGGGUGAAUAUACUUCUGAUCCAUUCUUGCAAGUAUGCCAGAACGAGGGUAUUAAAAGACAUUUCACAGUGAGACAUACUCCGCAACAGAACGGUGUGGCUGAGCGUAUGAAUCGUACUUUACUGGAGAAGGUAUGGUGUAUGUUAUCUAAUGCUGGUUUAGAUAAAAAGUUUUGGGCUGAAGUUGUGAGCUACGCAAGUCACUUGGUAAACCGGUUGCCUUCUGCUGCAAUUGGAGGUAAAACUCCUAUGGAAAUGUGGUCUGGAAAGCAUGCACAAGACUAUGAUUCCCUUCGUAUAUUCGGGUGUCCAGCUUAUUAUCAUGUCAAAGAUGGUAAACUAGAUCCUCGUGCUAGAAAAGCUAUCUUUGUGGGAUUCAAAGGUGGAGUAAAGGACUUCAAGCUUUGGGAUCUCGAAGAUAAAAAGUUUGUGUGUAGCAGAAAUGUCACAUUUGAUGAAGCUUCAAUGAUGAAAGCUUCAAGUUCUCAGCAGGUGGAGAACAAGACCAAAGAGGUAUUGCUGCGGGUGGAGUUUGAUGCAACUCCAUAUGUACCAGUUAGUUCUACAUCAAAGAAGAGUUCAACUAUAGAGGUGACACCUAGAGUUGAAGAAGAGGUUGUUUCUUCUGAUGUCCCACAAAAUGAAGAAACAAUUGAUAAUGUAGAUAAUGAUGAUUUUAUAGCAACAAGGAGGCUAAGAAGAGAGAUAAAGAAACCCGGAUGGCUUACUAAAGAUAUGGUGGUAGCCUAUGCACUUCCAGUUAUUGAUGAUGACAUCCCCAACACUUUCGGUGAAGCAUUACGCAGCAGUGAAAGUGAUCAGUGGAAGUUAGCCAUGGAGGAAGAGAUGAAAUCUCUCCAUCAAAACCAGACUUGGGAACUUGUAAAGUUACCAAAAGGGAAAAAGGCUAUUGGCAAUAAAUGGGUCUACACCAAAAAGCAAGGAUCUCCGAAUAAAAUAACUCCUCGAUACAAGGCAAGGCUCGUGGCAAAAGGUUUUGCUCAAAAGGAAGGUAUUGACUACAAUUAAGUUUUCUCUCCAGUUGUAAAACAUACUUCCAUUCGUAUCCUACUUGCCUUAGUUGCAGAAUAUGAGUUAGAGUUGGCUCAAUUGGAUGUUAAGACCGCGUUCAUACAUGGAGAUUUGGAGGAGGAAAUCUAUAUGAUUCAGCCUUGUGGUUUCAAAGUUGCUGGAAAAGAGAAUCAUGUGUGUAGGUUGAUUAAAUUUUUGUACGGACUGAAGCAAUCGCCAAGGCAGUGGUAUAAAAGAUUUGAUCAAUUUAUACAAGGGCAGAAAUUCACCAGAAGUGAACACGAUCAUUGUGUUUACUUUAGAAGACUACCAGAUAGAGCUUUCAUCUAUUUGUUACUCUAUGUCGAUGAUAUGCUUAUAGCUUCGAAGAAUAGAGAUGAGAUCGAAAGAUUAAAAAAGCAACUGGCUUCUGAGUUUAAGAUGAAAGACUUGGGUGAUGCACAGAGAAUACUUGGGAUGGAGAUUCGUAGAGACAAGAAGAAUGGGAGCGUAUGGUUGACUCAAAAGUCUUAUUUGAAGAAAGUGCUAGAAAGAUUCGGUAUGGAUGACAAAACUAAACCAGUAUGUACACCUCUAGCUUCUCAUUUCAAAUUAAGCUUUUCUUCAUGUCCUAGAUCUCAAGAGGAGCGUGAUUAUAUGGCUCGUGUUCCAUAUGCUAGUGCUGUGGGUAGUCUUAUGUAUGCUAUGGUAUGCACAAGGCCCGAUAUAUCUCAAGCAGUGAGCAUGGUUAGUAGAUACAUGCAAAAUCCGGGUAAAAAUUAAUGGCUUGCGGUAAAGUGGAUUCUCCGAUAUCUGUAUGGGACAGUUGAUGUUGGGUUAUUGUUCAAGAAGGAUUGUGGUCAACAAUGUGUUGGGUAUUGUGAUUCUGAUUUCGCUGGAGACCUUGACAAGCGAAGAUCAACAACGUGCUACGUAUUCACAUUGGGUGGAGGUCCGGUUAGCUGGAGGUCGAUUCUACAAUCGACAAUUGCUCUGUCCACUGCGGAAGCAGAGUAUAUGGCAGCAACUGAAGCUAUAAAAGAAGCUAUCUGGUUGAAAGGUUUAUUAGGUGAUUUGGGAGUAAUCCAGGAGAACAUUGCGGUCUUAUGUGAUAAUCAAAGUGUGAUAUUCCUUGCGAAGAAUCAAACAUAUCACGCUCGGACGAAGCACAUAGAUGUGAAAUAUCAUUAUGUGAGAGAGAUUAUCGAGAGCGGUGUUGUGUUGUUGAGAAAGAUCGAUACCAAAGAUAAUCCAUUAGAUAUGUUGACGAAGGUAGUUUCUGGAGUUAAGUUUCAACAUUGCUUGAAAUUAAUUCAAAUCCUUCGAUUGUGUUAAGAUAUGUCCUUCGGGAAUUUUGAACUACGGUUGGCUUGAUCCCAAAUUUUGGGUACGUAGGCAGUCAUAGAGAUGCAGCCACUUUGGGGAUGAUGAUUGGUUGGUAGUCGGCUCAGAUUUGGACAAAUUUUCACCGAGGUGGAGAAUUGUUGAAAAGUCAUGCAUGUGGCAAUUUUUCAAAGAGCUACCAAACAUUUGAAGAAAAAAUGGAAAGUUGGCAAAUUUUUCAAAUUUGCCAAAUGGACCCCAUUGACUAUUGGUUUUAUGUUAGGUGGAAUAGUAAAGGGGUUGGUGCAAUAGUGCUAUUAUUUUUCCUAUAAAUAGAUGGCACUUCUUCCAUUCUUUUGCAUCCCAAAAUUGUUAAGCUUAUAAGUUUCUAAGCUUUUGAGAGAAGUGAGAGAAGUGUCUGGGGAAUUUAUCUUUCCUGCAGAGUGUGAAGUACUGGGUAUAUUUUGGGUUUAUGGGAAGUGAGAUUUGUUACUCAAAUAUUGUACUCUAUUAAUUGUUAAAUAAACAAUUAUUCUUUCUUGCCUCCGUGGAUGUAGGUUUAAUUACCGAACCACGUAAUUCUUGUGUCCUUUAUUUUUUCUAUAAUUAUUUGGUGCGCUUGAUUCCGCAUUCCGCGCACAACAAGACCCACACCAACCGACAGACCCCCGGUGAUAGAGAGAAAGUCGACUGUGAGAUGCAUUCAAGACGGGGGAAGAGUGAGAGAGAAAACUGCCCGGUCAGAAGGAGAGAUGCAUGAUUGAGGUGAGAGAUUUGGGCGUGAGUGAGUGAGGAGUGAGGGAGAGGGUGCCGCGUGUGUGGGAUGCGUACAAUGACAAUUUAUACUUACAUCAAAACGCCGCGUUCGGUGCCAUGUGUAGGGCUAACUGUGGUUUGAAUCUCACUUUGGUAAUGGAAAUGACUUUGCAAUUGACAGUUUUUGUCAAAAGUUCGCACUGCAUGAAACUAGUGUUAAUAUAAUUUAAAAAAUUAAUUUCA